CGGCUGCGCGGUGCGAUAAAAAAUGGAAAGCAGAAAUCUCAUAAAAACAGCCCUUUCCCUCCGGAGGAACAGCUGCUACGGUCCCCUACAGCACCCCAGUUCAAGGCAGGAGUGUCAUCUGUACAGAGGAGCAUACUGAAAGGCAUGAAGAUGCUUUCUUAAAGAGUGAUACAACUAGAAAAUAAAAAUAUCCAGUUUUAUGAUGUGUCCCUGUGUGAAACCACUCUGAAUGGCUCAAGCCCAAGGAUCUGCCCAACAUCUUUGAUCGCACAGGUAGAUGAGCCCUCGCCACUGAACAUAUGGAGUAAGUCCCUGGCUGCCAGCAUAUUGCAGGAGCUUGGACAGAAAUUGCAGCUCCUUGCUGGGUAUGAGACUGGCAACAUGCUAACCUGUUGCUGGAGAGAGCUCAGUGAGGGCAUUGAUUACCAUAAUUAGCCCCAGAAGUCACUAAUGUACAAAAGUGUGCAACCAGGUGGAGCCAAGUCUCAGAGGAGGUUGGAAGCGGUGCUCUUGAAUCCAAGUGUAGAGUGUGAAAUCACUGCCACCAGAAGAGAGCAAUGCAAGAAAAGCUUUGCUUUACCAGCCUCCACUGCAAAGGAAGGAAGCAAACCUGAGACAGCACCAAACAUGUCUCUCAGAAGUAAAGCUCCUGCUGUGCAAAUUGAUGCCGGUCAGGCACCCAUCACAAUCAGCUUCUCACUCUCAUCCAACAUCUGGGAAGAAAGAGGGGCUUCUGCUUUACUGAAUAGUAAAAUCAGAUCAGAGAAGCUGCCUGUGGCUGGGCUCAGUGUAAAUAAAAGAAGGAAUGUGCUGUAUGCCAUUAAUUCCCAGUGAGGAAUCUGAACUAAGGCUGGACAAGGAUGGCUCCAGUGCAAACACUGCUGGGACAUGCUGUGGGUGACAUCCCUACUGUGCUUCACAGAGUUAUGGGAAAGGAAGGAAAGAUGUGCAGCAGAAGUAAUCAUCAGAUUUCCUGUCUACCACACCUGGAGUACGAUCAUCUCAUUGACAAUCAAAUGUCCACUGAGGAGCAGAUUAAAACAGUCUGUCUCAUCUUCAAAAACAAACAAGGACACUUGUGAAAACAAAACAAAGCAGCUGUAUGCAGGAAAAACAAAAACAGAGGUAUGACUUGUGCUCAGCACGUCAUUAAAUUGUGGAACUCGUUGCCACAGGAUGUUGAGGAGGCCAAAAGUAUGUACAUCCAAGGAAAGCUGCUCUUUGCCAAUUCUCUUAUCAUUGGGUACAGCCAGUCUACUAAAGAGCUUAAAAAUAGCUAAGACAAAGAGUGAUUGUCACAUGGGUUACUUCCAAGUGAUUUCACAUUCAGGAAUGGACCUUUCUUUAAUAGCACAAAGUAACGGAAAGGAUUGGUCGCUCUCUCUUUGGAAAUCUGAGAUUAUUUUCAGUUCUCAUCCACGCAGCUGGAGAAGGUCAGGAAGCAAUCUUUAAAUAUUAAGAUUUGAGCACAAAUCAAGCCAACUAAUGACACUUAUUUUGGGACCUUGUAAUAGAGUUGCAGUUAUUUUUAAAAUGCAACUGUAAAAUGUUUUUCAGUAAGCCAGAAUUACCUAUAAGAGUCAAUAUACACCAGGAGUGUGGUAUAAAUUUGAGCUGUUAUACAUUAUUAUUUCUGUUUUGACUGUACAUUCCCCAUUUAUGGUGCCUGCCUUCUGUUUCAGUUCUCAAGUGAGAAAGUCAGUACACAACUCUAGGUCUAGUUACUUCUGUUACAAAUACACAUAAAAAGAAUUUGUGUGUUAUUUCAAAAUCUGAACCUCUUAAGAGUGGUGGUAAAGGGAGAGGACCAUGGAUGUCAGAGGGUCCAGAAGGAUGAAACGAGUAAGUAGAAAAAAACAUGCACAAUAAUUUCAGUUUUACUGGCAGUAUCAUAAACAGUUCCUAGAAACUUUGGGGAAUAAGACACAAAUGGUCUUGGGCAGCCUAGGCCUCAAGAAGCAAAAGAAAUCAAAAUGAGUGAGGAAAGUAAGGAGUGGCAACAUCCUCUUUAGGACUGAGGAAGCCAGCUGCAAGUUAAAGCACUGAUGUACUUCCAGUCCUAUCCAUAUCCUAGAUCACUGAGUGCUCACAAAAGCCAGCCUAGAAGAGGGACUGGAUUUCAUGACCAUGAAGUGAUUUAAGCUGUCAUAGAAGUGCAUCCUCUAAAGCAAACUGUCCAGGAGGCCUUUAAGAUUUAAAGCUGAGAAGGUACAAGGGUCAAGAUAUGCUGAUCACAUGAAAGUAGUCAAGUUUUGGUCCCAUUCAACCCUUUUACAAUAAGCCACUUUGUAACAAAGAAACUUUUUCCUUGUCUAUUAAUUGCAGGGGCUUUUUCAGAAUCCUGUGUUCGAUACAGACAGUGUAACAUGGGCUAACAGUGCACUCACCCUGUUGAGCCAAGUUCUGUUCUGAUAAGCUGCCAAUAACCUGAGCCACUGCAGUGUGAAAGGGAAGGCAGCACAUCAAGAACAGUGUCAUAUCCAGCUGUAGCUCAAGCCACAUUGCUUUAUCCAUCUACAAAGGGCAGUUCAUGGCAGGUAGAUUUUACCCCUUGCUAUGACUGUGUCUUACCACACACUACCAUUACCUCUUAUCUGAUUUCUGCACAAAUUUCCAAGUUGAAUAAAUUGGAUGUAUUUUUUAGCAUUUAAAAUUCCAGGUGGCAAAAUAAACACAUAUACAGGAGAGAAUUAAAUAUAAUGAGAAAAUGAAUAAAGCACACCACCAAGCAUUUUAAAUAUUAGCCUUUGGUUGAGAGGCCUUUGGUUUGAUCUCUGAUAUCGAUAUAUCCAAUGCCAUGUUUCUUGUGUGAUAAUUUAUUUCGCAUCAGAGACCAAACAAGCUCUGCAAAGUCAAAUUGAAAUUUAAACAAGUGUUGUUUGGCAUCUUUAGUUUGUGUUAGACCAGGUGGCAGCUGUUGGGAGAUCGUUUUGUUUUAACAACUUUUUGUUUUGUUAGCAAAGAAAAACAUUGUCCAGCCAAAUCCUGCUGACAGUGAAUAAAUAUUUCUCCUCCAUCAGACCAAAUAUUUUCAUUUGCCAUCCUAAUAGCUAGGGCUAAAAGAUCUAAAAGAAUUUUUCUUUAUAUAUGGACUCAAAUACAUUUGAAAGGUUUGGUGUUUCAUGGGAGGUGAUUAUUACUCUGUACUCUGCACUGCUGAGGUUAGUAUGGAGUACUGCACCACACUUUGGUCAUUAUACACCCAAAACUGGAGAGAUUUGUAAGGAAAGCAAACAAAAGGCAGAAAACAGGACCUCUGCAGAAUGACUGAGGAAAGCAGAACAUCAAAGAAGUUUAUUGACAAAUCUUCUCAUGUGUACAAGACAGUAAUGAUGAUGUACUGGCACUGGGUCUAGGAAAAAUUGACCAAACAUGAGCCUGAGCAAAUCUAUGGAGCAGGAUUCCAUCAGAACCUGUUAAGGUGACAUCCACCACCACUGGGUCAAGAAGUUCCUGAGCCACAAAUAUCUGAGGAAUAGUUUGGAGAAUAUCCCUACACAAUAGUUUCCCUCAGCAUCUGUUUAGUCCCUGUCACAGACAAGAUCUCAGAGCAGCCUGGCUCUUUACACUGACCAAGUGCCAUUCUCUCACUCUGCUCAGAUGAGAUAGUAUGGAAUCUGUUAAUGCGAAAAAACAGUUAGCUCUGGGAACAAGCCACUUGCAGAACUACAGUCACCCUUCACAAUAUAGUUUAAAGCCCAAGGGCAGUUUAGUGUACUUGUUCUCUUGUUUGUUAAAAAAAAAAAAAAAAGGAAAAA